CAGCCGCCGCGGGAAUACGGAGGGUGCAAGCGUUAUCCGGAUUUAUUGGGUUUAAAGGGUCCGUAGGCGGAUCUGUAAGUCAGUGGUGAAAUCUCACAGCUUAACUGUGAAACUGCCAUUGAUACUGCAGGUCUUGAGUAAAUUUGAAGUGGCUGGAAUAAGUAGUGUAGCGGUGAAAUGCAUAGAUAUUACUUAGAACACCAAUUGCGAAGGCAGGUCACUAAGAUUUAACUGAUGCUGAUGGACGAAAGCGUGGGGAGCGAACAGGAUUAGAUACCCCAGUAGUCCCUGUCUCUUAUAC
rnacentral:rRNA from 1 species